GAACCCAGACUUUACCAAAUAAAUUGUCAUCCUACAAGAAACAAGGUAGACGAGGAGACGGACCCACUGGUUGUCCUCUAGGUUACAGAGAGCUGGUAGUCCCAUCCACCACACUACCAGGUGGGUGGUAUAGAGGAGAUGGACCCACUGGUUGUCCUCUAGGUUACAGAGAGCUGGUAGUCCCAUCCACCACACUACCAGGUGGGUGGUAUAGAGGAGACAGACCCACUGGUUGACCUCUAGGUUACAGAGAGCUGGUAUUCCCAUCCACCACACUACCAGGUGGGUGGUAUAGAGGAGAUGGACCCACUGGUUGUCCUCUAGGUUACAGAGAGCUGGUAUUCCCAUCCACCACACUACCAGGUGGGUGGUAUAGAGGAGAUGGACCCACUGGUUGUCCUCUAGGUUACAGAGAGCUGGUAGUCCCAUCCACCACACUACCAGGUGGGUGGUAUAGAGGAGAUGGACCCACUGGUUGUCCUCUAGGUUACAGAGAGCUGGUAGUCCCAUCCACCACACUACCAGGUGGGUGGUAUAGAGGAGACAGACCCACUGGUUGACCUCUAGGUUACAGAGAGCUGGUAGUCCCAUCCACCACACUACCAGGUGGGUGGUAUAGAGGAGACGGACCCACUGGUUGUCCUCUAGGUUACAGAGAGCUGGUAGUCCCAUCCACCACACUACCAGGUGGGUGGUAUAGAGGAGAUGGACCCACUGGUUGUCCUCUAGGUUACAGAGAGCUGGUAGUCCCAUCCACCACACUACCAGGUGGGUGGUAUAGAGGAGACGGACCCACUGGUUGUCCUCUAGGUUACAGAGAGCUGGUAUUCCCAUCCACCACACUACCAGGUGGGUGGUAUAGAGGAGAUGGACCCACUGGUUGUCCUCUAGGUUACAGAGAGCUGGUAUUCCCAUCCACCACACUACCAGGUGGGUGGUAUAGAGGAGAUGGACCCACUGGUUGUCCUCUAGGUUACAGAGAGCUGGUAGUCCCAUCCACCACACUACCAGGUGGGUGGUAUAGAGGAGAUGGACCCACUGGUUGUCCUCUAGGUUACAGAGAGCUGGUAGUCCCAUCCACCACACUACCAGGUGGGUGGUAUAGAGGAGAUGGACCCACUGGUUGUCCUCUAGGUUACAGAGAGCUGGUAGUCCCAUCCACCACACUACCAGGUGGGUGGUAUAGAGGAGAUGGACCCACUGGUUGUCCUCUAGGUUACAGAGAGCUGGUAUUCCCAUCCACCACACUACCAGGUGGGUGGUAUAGAGGAGAUGGACCCACUGGUUGUCCUCUAGGUUACAGAGAGCUGGUAGUCCCAUCCACCACACUACCAGGUGGGUGGUAUAGAGGAGACGGACCCACUGGUUGUCCUCUAGGUUACAGAGAGCUGGUAGUCCCAUCCACCACACUACCAGGUGGGUGGUAUAGAGGAGACGGACCCACACUACCAGGUGUGAAACAGGGCAGAGACUCAGUGGGUAUGCUAAUUUGGUAUAGAGCAGACCUAACACACUAUAUUAACCAAAUGACAUUUAAAAUGUAAUCUACAUAAUCCCAAAAGUAAUGAUUUAUCAUUAAAGGGGCAUAAACAACAUCUAAUAAUGCUGCAUACUCAAAGAAAGGUUAAAACCUCACAUUUCUGGUACUUUUUUAAAAUAAAUUGUUGAGGAUUAGUUACUUUUGAGGACACAAGAACAAGAACACAUUACAAAUAUGAUUAAAAUAUGAAAUAUGAAAUAUGAUACAUUUCCUAUUCAACAAAAAUGUAUGAAUAAGGGUUGAAAGACAUGAUUUCUAAAUAUAGUAUAAUCAAAUUAUAAAAUGACUGACUAUAAUAUUUCACCUUCCUUAUAACUGUAACAUAUAUAUUUUUAUGUUUAGUGUUUGAGAAAAUGUGCAUAUUUUCUCUCCUGAUCAGUAGGUGCAAACCUGGUCAAGAACUACAGGAAACGUAUGAUCUCUGUAAUUGCAAACAAAGGUUUCUGUACCAAAUAUUAAGUUCUGCUUUUCUGAUGUAUCAAAUACUUAUGU